rnacentral:tRNA from 1 species
GCGGGGUGGAGCAGUCUGGUAGCUCGUCGGCCUCAUAAGCCGAAGGUCGCAGGUUCGAAUCCUGCCCACCGCA